GGAGCUGUGUUUCUUUUGCUUUUUUUUUUUUUUAUUACUCAAUUACAUGAAUAGCUAAUAUUGAUACACUUGAAGAAGGAGGUUGUCUUGAUUGAAAAUUUCCUUUCUGUAUAUGUUGGUUAACAAAAAAGGAUUUGCCUUUUGUAAUAGGGCUAAUGGAUCGAUGCUACUGGAGCUGGUUUUACCUUUUAGCCAUUGAUUUAUCUUUGUCUAAGCUAAUUAUUUUGCUUUUCUUGAAUACUUCUGUAUGUGUAAGGUGUUAUUAAUUUAAUAUAAUUGAGACGUUUCUUUUAAAAUGUGUUUUAAUUCAGAUAGGUGAAUUUUCUGAGUGAUAUGUGAAAUUAUGUAGCUGGUAACCACCAGCCGUCUUAACCAGUAAUUAUUUAUGAUGUUAGUUUCUAAUUCUAAUGGGCUGUAUGGGCAAUUUAAGAUCUGAUUGUCAUACAAAUUUUUUUAAUCAAAGAAUCUAUUAGCUCUUUGCAAUAGCGAUGUAGGUGUUGUAAAUUGAUAAUUGGGAUGUAAUUGUCGAUUUUGUUCCUUUUUUUUUUUUAAUAUUUAUUUUGCAUCCUCACCCCCUCCUUUUUGACUUUUAAGGGAGUUGUUGGGGGGUUUUGGUACAGGGAUUUUGGCUGGUGCUAUGGUGGGUAGGGUAACUUAACACUUCUCUUUUGAUCUCUAUCGACCUGCAGAGGCGGAUCCAGAAUUUAAACUAUAUAGAUUCAACUUUAAUGGUUUUAACAUUGAACCCAUUAUAUUUUUAAAAUUAUGGAUUCAUGUCUAUUUCAGUGAAUUUUUAAAGAUAAAUUUAUACUCCGCGUCGAAAGUUAUGAGUUCAAUUAAACCAGUCACUGCAAUACUACAUCUGACCCUGUUGGCAUGCCUUACUUUUGCUUUGUUCAUGUGAGAGGAGUAUGUGCGAGGCAGUGGCCGAGUUGUCUACUAAUUGCUCUCUUAUUUUUGGUUUGUUUGCGUUUUGAAGCAUUUGUUCACAAAUUUUCUGUUGUUGUUAAUGUUGAAAGGCUUUGGUUUUGCUAUUGGGGAGAAUAUCUUCUUCAUAGAGUGCAGAUGAAGUAACUAUAUAUGACUCGUUGUAUGAUCUAGGGCAGGUGAUUCUUUGCUUGGAGCCUUGUACAGGAUGGAAGUAACAGGAGGUUGAGACCUUUAAAUUCUAUGGCAUUGGAAGGUAUUUGGGAAAUGCUUGGGGUAGCAGAAAACUUGCGGAAAAUAGAAAGUGCUAGCAGCAAGGGUUGUCCGUCUAACAAGUUUUACCAUAGAACCCGAAGAAGUGGCAUGGAAUUUGACUCUGAUUGGACCAAGCAUAGAAAAUCAUUGACCUUUACUGCACAAGUCAUCAGUUCUUCAACUUCUUUUAUCCCUUGGUCUUCUAAGAUUGCAAUUAGUGAAGGAUAUCAUGAAUUUCUUUAGUCAAUUGUCAAUUUAUUCAGUUACUUUGUCAAAAAAUUGUGGUUUUAGAAAAUUGCUGGUGUUGUAAGUGGAAACAAGAGAGUCACUGCAUCAAGUAUGUGUUCCACAGAUUUGAGCCAGCAAGAUAGUCUAGGUUUUGAUUCCUUUUUAACUUAUAAUUAUGUGUCUGAUGGCCCCAUCUUGCCUGGACUGCCAGAUGAUGUGGCAAAGUAUUGCCUUGCACUUGUUCCCCGAUCCGAUUUUCCUGCUAUGGGUGGUGCCUGCAAGCGGUGGAGGUCAUUUCUGCGAAGCAAAGAGUUCAUCAGCAUUAGAAAGCUGGCUGGUCUGCUUGAGGAAUGGCUUUAUGUCCUGACUGUGAAUGCAGAAGGAAGAGAAAGCUACUGGGAGGUUUUCGACUGCUUAGGAAACAAACACCAUCAGCUCCCACAGAUGCCCGGUCAUAUAAAGGCUGCUUUUGGAAUUGUAGUUCUCAAUGGUAAACUUCUUGUUAUUGGUGGUCAUUCCAUGAUUGGUGAAUCUGGGUCGGUCUCAGCCGACGUUUAUCAAUACGAUUCUUACUUGAACAGGUGGAGCAAAAUGGCUAGCAUGAACGUGGCACGUUAUGAUUUUGCUUGUGCUGAGGUGAAUGGAAUGGUUUAUGCAGUUGGUGGUUUUGGGAUAGAUGGCGAAUCUCUUUCUUGUGCUGAGGUUUAUGAUCCAGAUCAAGAUAAAUGGACUGUGAUCGAGAGUCUUCGCAGGCCAAGGUGGGGCUGCUUUGCAUGUGGAUUUGGGGGAAAGCUUUAUAUUAUGGGUGGUCGAUCAAGUUUUACAAUUGGGAAUUCAAGGUCUGUUGAUGUGUAUAAUCCCAAGAGUCACACUUGGGGCGAGAUGAAAAGAGGUUGUGUUAUGGUUACCGCUCAUGCUGUUCUGGAAAAGAAGCUCUUCUGCAUAGAAUGGAAGAACCAGCGGAAACUAUCCAUUUUCAAUCCGGAGGACAAUUCAUGGAAGAUGGAGCCAGUUCCAGUGACAGGGAGUUCAAGCAUUCGAUUCCAGUUUGGCAUACUGGAUGGGAAGCUUUUACUGUUUUCUCUACAAGGCGAUCCUGGUUAUAACACCCUGCUAUAUAAUCCUAAUGCAGCUUCAGAAUCACAGUGGCAGACUUGUGACAUAAAGCCAUCUGGUGUGUGCCUUUGUACUGUUACAAUCAAGGCAUAAAAAUCAAAUUGCAACAAAGAGUUAGACAUCAACGCACAAAUAUCUGUAUACUCAAAGUUUCUCUUCAGGUCAUCAAAGUCUAAAUCAUAUUUUGGAGCAAAUGAUAGCCUCUCCUAGUCAGUAGAAGUGGGCAGCCAAGUUGAUGGGAUAUGACUAUGCCAUUGUCUAUAAAAAAAGGAAAGAAGAUGCAGGGUUGAGCACAAAAUUGCACUUUCAUUUCCUGGUCACUCCCAACUAUUACAGCAGGUUAAAGACUCGUACUAAUGACGAUAUCCAGUACUAUCACAAUGAAUUAGAGGAAAAUAUUAAAGACUCAUCCUUAUAAUAUGACAUGAUAUCCAGCUAUCAAUAAAUUGGAGGAAAAUGCAGACUCUAAGCCAGGGUAUGAAUGGAGAAAUGGUUUCUUAUACAGGAAAGGUAAGGUAGUGAUUAGUAAGUAUUGAGCUGAGCUAAAAUUAAUUUUGAUGAUUAACAAAGAGUGAUUAAAGAACCGGGUCUUUUGAAGAUAUUUUCGGUGCAAUAAACAAGGUUGAUGACUUGUCAAGCUGAUGUUAAAGAAUCAGGUUCCUCGAUGAGUUGAUCAAGAGCUAGCUGCAAAUCGAUUCCUAGUGCAAAUAGUAUUCUUUAGAGGUUUUUUUUUUCGCAAGCUACAGGUAUUGUACUAGCCAGAAGAAGUUGUGUUCAACAAGGAUUCUAUUUAUGGGAAUACUUGCAUAGAAGAAAAGGCGUGUAAAGUUGAAAGUAUUUAAGGAAAUCAAGUUCAGUUGGGAUUAUUUUCCUUAA